rnacentral:tmRNA from 1 species
GGGGGCGAACUAGGCUCGACGGGGGGAAGCAAAGCGUUUGUUGCGUGUCGAGGCGCCCGUGGCCUCGUUAAAACGGGCAAAAAGAAUCGCGAACGACAACGCGUUCGCUCUGGCAGCCUAAAAAACUCGCCAGACCGUGACUUCGGGAGCUGCCUGCGGCCCGAAGGAGCGGCUACUUAGUGGGCUUGAUGACGGUGGGUGCCUACCGGCACCGUCGUGACAUGAACGGAAGGCUAAGCUUCAGGGUGCCUGUCAGUGGGCGUGUCUGAGGACGAAAACCCAAGCACUGAAUACGCACGUAGCGACAGGCGUGGAGCCCUCUCGGACCGGGGUGCAAUUCCCCGCGCCUCCACGA